UCUCUCGUGGCGUAGUGGUAACGCGCCCUGUCUAUCGAAUAGGGAGUUGUGAGUUUGAUACUCACCGUGACUU
rnacentral:tRNA from 1 species